rnacentral:lncRNA from 1 species
AACCAUCAGCACAAUGAGGCACAAGCGAUCUGCAGAAAGACCAUUGGCUUUCGACCAUUGCGUGUCAUAACACUUCAUAAACUGCAAACUUGACACCACCAACCACCUCUACUCCACCAACAGACACUAGUAGCUCCUCUACCCCCAGCUUUAUAACUUGAAGCCCCGUAGUAGAUGUUUCUGACUCCUUGCCACACACCACCACCACCUUAGAUGUCGGACUGACUAGGGCGAUUGAAACCCAAGACCCUCUACCACCUACUACCAGUGCGAUCGUCAAAGAAGAAGAAACUCCAAAAUGAGCACUAAAGAGGGCCUGAGUCCGAUGGAGCCAACCCAUCCACCAACCAGCCAAAACGGACAUCUGUGGACAUCUCAUCUUCGAAGAUGAUUUGAAGAAGGAAUGGUGUGAGGACAUUUGCAAGCUACCCAUUAUUCUAGGUAAAUUCGCCCAUAACCCCACUCUCGAUACUCUUAACAUCAGAACACGUGUUUCAAAACGAAUUUACGCCAUCGGCUUGGCCAAUUUCUUCGUUGCGGAUGAACCUACUUACGUAAAACUGGUUAGGGCAUUUUAUACCACCUUCCAGUUUUACAAACCCGCUAAGUUUAACCUUCACACCCCAAAUCUCAUCUCCUACCAUCUCUAGAAUAGGCAUUUUCAUUUCUCCAUUACUCAGUUUAAUGAUGUCCUAGGAUUAUUUGAAUAGGAAGCCAAACACCUGUAUUGUGAUUUAUGUGAAGACUUUGAUCCGACCACUAUUUAUGAUAAACUUUGCGUCAACCACUCAACUCAUAUAACUUCAGCAAGUUCAAUAAGCUCUACUUACGUGACCUUUCCAUAAAAUACAUUCAUAAGUUUUAGGCUUUUUUUUUAGGUUGCAGAGACGCACCGACAUCAUCUCCAAAACAAAACUGCGACGCACAUUACAGCAAUGCUGGGUGAACCUAGGGUACUGGUCCGCGUCAUAAUUCACCAAUGUACUCUCCUUUCAUUGGCCCUUAAUCUUGGGCUUGAUCAUCACCAGAAUUGCCAUCUUCACAACCCAAUUCGAUGUUGAUGAGACCGACCUGCACAUUGCCUAUACUUAGGCACCUUUGGACCUUCAGUCUUUAAAUGACAUGGGCCUCAUAGAAUUAAAAGAUGGCCUUCCUUGCUUUGCCCCACCUGGGCCUUUGGUACCACACGACAGAAGAAUUUACAGCAAGCAGCGCAAGUGCCAAUCACAAGCCACCCUAGCUCCUCCACCGCCUAACUUCAAGGAAUUUAUGGACCACACCCUGUUGCACAUACGCAUGAUUGAUGACACCCUGCACUCCAUGGAGCGUUCCUUGUGCGAACUGAACAAGAAAGUUGAAGCCUUGAUACAACUGAUUUCCCAAAUCGGGCACUCCACCACACAACCCCGCAAUAGAUGAACACCAGGGGAGUCUCUUAUCAUCUCUCUUUACUUUACUCUUGUUUUUUCUUUAUUUUUUUGUCACUAUUAUUUUGUCCUCUGUUUUUGUUUUCUAUUUAUUCAUUGCCUUUUUCUUAGCGUGCAUCACAUUGGGGAUAAUGUGUAAUUUAAGUGUAGGGGAGCAGCAUCUUAUAUUCUGCAUUAUGUAUCCUAAGUAGCUAGUUUUCCUAUCUACCACAUCAUUUUAGGGACAUUGACCUUGGCCAAGGCUGGCUACAUUACACACGCACAUUCAGUAGUUUUUAUUUCCAACCUCUCAUCUAUCUUUAUCAUUUUAAAUAACUCAAAUAGGAUGUUUCAAAAACUGAAUUGCACUUAUCUCCAUCUUCUAGGAACUGCAACUUGUUUUUUAUCUUUUCAAACCUUGAAUGACUAUUAUCGAUUAUGUCGCUUAAAGCAUGAUUUGUGCGGGAAUUGCCUUUUCAAAAAUUUAAUUUUUUCUCAUUUUUAGAGAGAAUGCCAAUACUUAGAACAAACCCACCUAUAACUUGUCCAGGUUUAUGUGCUUAUAAUUUUAUGGUUCAUGUUUAGGAUUAUUAAAAGCAAUCAACCAGCUUGUGAUAAGUAAGAUAGAGCAUAAAAUGCACUCACUUUCAGAAUAUGUUGGAGUAACAAUGUGAGAUGGAGCGUAAAAUGCACUCACAAUAUUUGGAAUCACCACUAACUGAGUAACUGAGUGCAUUCAUCACAAAUUUUUGUCAUCAUGUCAAAAGGUUAUUAACAAUUUUUGUUUUAGUAUGAACCAAUCACACGAAAUUUUUAAUUCUAGACUUGUUUGGUGUCAGUUCUACUAGGUGUUGGUUGUUACUCCCAAUUUUUAUGUGGUAAAACUUGUAAUUUUCUCUCAUUUCAUGUUUGUAUACUAGUCAAGAUAGUUGUUGUGAGGUAUGGUUCCCUGAAACUCAAACUUGCAAUUACUAGCUGAUGGUCAUUUUUGCAACUUGGAGAUUGAGCGUAGCAUGCGAGUUAAUAUAGAAUGAUUGGAUUAGGUGGUGAAGAUAUGAGAUUAUAGUACGAGCUGUGUAGUGCUUGAGGGCAAGCAUAAGAUAAGUGUGGGGGAGUUGGAUAGGGUGCAAAAAAAACACCCUUGUCAUAUGCUUUUGUGUAUUUAAAAUGAAUUGUUUGCUAUCUAGUCAAGCUAUUUUACCCAAUUUGAUAUAGGACUGGAGAUGGAGCUUAAGAUUUGGAAGAACAACAGAAAAUAAGAACAAGAACUACAGAACAACGAUCUAUCAUGGUCUUAGUCUUUGGUAAGGCUUAGACCUCGCAACAACAACAUACUUUAGCCCACGCACAUAUGCCUUGCCCAAGGCUUACAUCUCGGCAAGAAAGGGUGAACACAAUUAACCUUUGGGCAUAGCUUGCAACCAAGGCAACAAAAAGGGACACAAAUUAUACUCAACUGAGCAUUGACUAAGGCCAAGGUGACAUUUAAGUUUAAAAGACCUGCGUACAAUAGAAACAAGCCUUGCCCAAGGCUUAUGGUUCGAUCUGCAUAGUAUUUAAAGAACGACAAAUUUUUGUAAAUCCAAAAAGAUAUCCUCCUUGCCAAGAUCAAAGGGCCAAAAAUCAUGAGGAGAUUAUUUGAAAAGUUGAGGUUAAGGUGGAAUAAAGGAAAAGGAUCCUAAUCAACAAAGAAAAAAAAACCCUAGCUCCCUUUCGGCUAUAAAGACGAUAGCUACCAAGCAAAACGACAUCCUUCUUCUUUCCGACACCACUGACAGCUAUUGUUGAAGAUUCUACUCUUCUCUUUCAUUCUUCUUCUUUCUCUUCGAACCAUUAAAAGAACCCCUUUGUGUUAAAGACCACCAUGAGUGGCUAACUUGUUUUCUUUUCCUAGUUGUUGUUUGGUGAACUCCAGUGAUGUAUUUGUGAGAUUGAAUUAGUUUAAUAUAUGUUUUAUUUAAGUCUUGGCAUUUAUUUAUCUUCCACACUUAUACAUAUUUAUAAUUUUGAAUUUGUUUGAAUUGGGCCCGUUGAUCAUUUGAAAGCAACAUGUAGCUAGCCAAACUCCUAAAAUUCAUAAUUGUUUGAGUGGUUCUGGGCACCUAAUGGCAAUCAGUGUUGCGCUGAGGAGGUGAUUAAUCUGUUUGACUGAUUCAUGUGAAUGAAUCCAUCAACUUGAAUCAAGUUCUUCUAGUUAUCAAAGCCGUUGACAAGUUAAAUCCUGUGGACGUUUCCAUGACUGUUUGGCAGUAAAGAACCAACUAACAAACAUUUUUUAGUUGGUUUAGAAAUAAGGAAGGAUUGAUUGUCGGGACAUUUCUGCCAAGCAUAGUUGGUUUGUUAUAACUUAAACAAAAUAAAUCCUUGCAUCUAUGAUCAAUUACGUUACUGGAGCUAACUAUUUCAUCGACUAAGAAUUCUUCUUAUAAUUGCUUUAAUUUCUAACUUAUAGUCAAAAGUUUUUUUAAUAUUAUCCUACUCAUUGUUUACUUUUUGUGCAUUAGAUCCAACAAAAACCCCCCCUUUUAUUUAAUUUUCAUCCGUUGGUCAAGGAAGCAAAUUUGUUUCCAAUUCCCUAUGGAUUUAACCCUACUUACCAUUACUACAAUCUUGUUUUACUGGUUAAAUAGGAAUUUUUUUUGGUGGAUUUGACACCCAUCAACGUACCAUGUUAUUUACAUACAUUUAAUUGCUCUUAAUAUACAUGGAAUUAGUUCAAAGUUUGCAGGCAUUUUCUUAAUCUUAGGAAACAAUAUUUCUUGGAAACUAAAAUUGCAAUCAUAUGAUUUAUUAAUUCAAAAUAUUGGAAUCUCCUUUUUAAUGACUUAUGCUAAACAUUAGAGCAUUUCUAGACCAUGAAACACUCUUAAAACUUAAAUAUAAAUUAGUAAUUUAUUACAAAAAAGUAAGGUCAUUUAAUUAUAUCCUUUUUUGUGACAAAUUCUCAUAUAUCGAAGUGUUAAUCAUUUCAUCGCGAAUUUGAGCUAUUGAAAGCUAGUAUCGCGUUAUGUUUUUUACAUCAAAGUAAUGGUCAUGGAGAGUCUCAUACCUCAAGAUCAUCCUAUAAUAUGGUAAGGUGCUCAAAGUUUUUAAGUUUAAAAUUAUGGAACAUUCAAAUUGAAUUCCCAUCUUCAGUGAGACUCUUAACAUAUAUAAAUACCAAGACAUAUAAAGAACAUGUUAGAGAGAACAAGUAAAAAAAUUACAAUUUGCAUUCCAAAAUAAAAUUUUGAUUAUUAUUCUUUCUCAUAGAAAAAUUGUUGUGUGAAUCUCUUGUAGUACGUAAGACUUGUGAGACUAUGUUGGGUGGGUGUUAAGUCUAAAACAAGUUAAGUUUGUUAUGCAUUAAAUAUUAAAAAGUACAAGUUGUUUGGUUAUGCUUAAAUGUUGAGUACAUUGUAUUAAUUCAAUUUUCUAUAGUAAUUGAAAUAUUUGAUUAGAGGUAUUGAAGGUCCUAUAUGUAGGUUUAUUAGGACCAAAAAAUUCCAAAACCAUCUCUAUUUAAGUCUAAAUUUAUUUUAAUUGUUAGUUUUGGUUUUGUAAAUCAUAUAGUGUGAUUUUGAGGUAUAACGAGAGUGACAUUUAAAUGAGUAAGUUGAGGUUUCUCAAUGGGCUAGAUUAGAGCUUUCCAUGUGUCCAUGAUUUACACUAGUAGCAACGAGGCAUGUUCAUUGGUUUGAAUCUGGAUUAGACUGAAAUGGAUUACUGAUUGAAUAAGAGGUGAGAUCUGAACUGAAGAUGGAACCAAAUUUCUUUUCUUUUUUUUUUUUUUUUCAAGAUUGAGGUUUUAAUUUCCUAGUUUUUAUGUUUUUGAAGAAAAAUUAUCUUUUUCUUUCAUUAUCGAGUCCCUUUAUAUUUGGGUUAAGGAUUAGACUAAACAAUAUUUUGUUCAGCUUAGUCCAUACUGAAUUUUUGGUUUGAUUCAAUUUUUCGCAUCAUAUUGGGAAAAAACACCUCCAAUGGUAACAAGUUAUAAAUGACAUCAUUAAGUAAUCUAUGAUAUGGGUUUGAAAGCCCCAAUCCUAGGCCCUUCAUUAUCAUAACUACUACUCUUAUAAGUUUUGAAAAUAAGAGGAUCUAAAUUUCCUGGAUGUCUCCAUUAAGCAUGCAGAUGUAGUAAUGAGUGCAACAACCUAUGGUGAUUUAUAUAGGCAAGAGAUUAAAAUUUUUAUAUUGUUAAAAUUUUUUAUAAAUUAAAAUUUAAGACAAAUUGUCAAAUUAAUUUUUGCAGUUUGCUACUUAUUACAAUUUAAUCUCCAUUAUCUUUUGUUACAAUUUGGUUCUAGUAAUUUUUUGUUCAUUUCAAAUGCUCACUUUCCUUCUAUUCUGUCACAGGAAAAGAUAAAAUGUUUAAAUCAAAUUUGGAUGUUUUAAAACAGAGCGCAAAUAUAGUAAACUUAACUAAUUAAUUAAACUAAUAAAUUAAUAAAAUAAUGACAACAUUAGUUUCAUUUUUUAAUUUAUUAAUUUUUAUUAAUUAAGUAAAGUCAUUUUUUGAAUUAGUUUUUCAAAACUUCUAAAUAUGAUUUAACUUUUUUUGUUAAGAAAUAGAAGAAAAUUACACAUUUGAAACAAAUAAAAAAUGUUAACGAUAAAACCAUUAAAGACCAAAUUAUAAUAAAUGUUAAAUUUCAGGAACUAAGUUGGCAAUUUGUCUUAAAUUUUAAUGAAUUACUAUUAUAAUAUUAAAGAAUAAAACUAAUAAUUAAUUAUUAUUAGGAAAUAUGAUGGCAAAUUACUAUCUUAUUACUCGUUGGUCUUGAUAGUGUGUAAAAAUAUCAUCUUCAUUAUCCAUUUUCUUGUGCUUAAUUGGAAUAAUUGCUAUUUAAUUUGAGUUAUUUCGUCUAUUUUGAUGCAGGAUAGGAGAUGGAAUAAAAUUAAGGAAAGCAACAUAAAGAGGAGAAGAGUUCGUGGAGAAGCUAUCAGACCAAGACUAAGUCUUGCCCCAGGCUUAAGCCCAACAAGAAGUAACAGAAUCUAGUUCUGGUUCGCUCAUGCCUUAGGUAAGGCAAAGGCAUCAGCAGAGUUAUAAUUUUCGGGUUCCCUCAAGUUAGCCUCGGCCAAGGCUUAUGCCUCAACAAAAGGAAGAAGCCUAACUGACCCUUGGGCACAGCUAACACUAAGGCUGUAGGAGGCCGACCCAAUUCACACUUGAUCAAGCCUUGGUCAAGGCUUAGAACACGUGCAGCUACUAAUUUGAAAAAGGUGUGCUCUUGAGAUUUAAAAGAAAUAAUCUCGCUACAGCCGAGAUUGGCAACCAAAAAUCAAGGGGAACAUGAUUUUGGAAAGCAAGUUGAGUGCCAAAAUCAUUGGGAAGAAUCCCAAAAGGAAACCCUAAUCCUUUUGGCUAUAAAAUAGGUCGCCGAUAGAAAGCAAAGAUCAUCUUCCACACGCCACACACAGUAACCCCUGAAGGUUUUUUGCACUUUGUUACUUCCUCAUUAGACUUAAUCAAAAGAAACUUUAGGCUGUAACUCAUCAUGAGUGGCUCGACACGUUUACUUUUCCCAAUUAAUUAAUUUAGCAAAACUCAAAUCUUUAUUGUGAGAUUGAAUUGAGUUGAGUUUAAUUUUAUCCAAAUACAAGUAUUUGGUUAUUUAUCUGUACAUAUACUUAUUUGCUAUUGCUAGCUGUUUGAACAAGGCCUGUUGAAUGUGUGAUGCAACAACAUACAGACAUCCAAG